GAAAGCUGGAACUUUAACAGAGGAUCGACAAGUAACGAAUCAUGGAGAGGGAGAGAUUGAGACAGAGAGAACGACUCGAAGCAAUCUUGCACUACAGAGGGCAAGAGCAGGAAGGUUGACACUGGAUGACUUUAGACAGUAUUUCCAUCUCCCUAUAGAAGAUGCAGCGAGGAGGUUGCACUUGUGUCCCACUGUAGUGAAGAAGAUAUGCCGGAAAUUCGGGAUGACUCGAUGGCCACACAGAAAGAUCAAAAGCAUCCAGAGGCAAUUAACAGAUCUCCAAGUACUCUUAAAUUCGAACGAUGCAGAAGAAAGGGUACGUGCACAAGUAGAAAUCAUGAGGCUUCAAGAGGAAAUAAGAAAUGCCUGUUCUGGGUCCGCUGGAUGAUAUUGUUAUGUGCAUAACAUGCGUGUU